rnacentral:lncRNA from 1 species
CCCGAGUGGCGCAGCAUCACUACAGACCCUGGUUCGAUCCCAGGCUGUAUCACAACCGCCCGUGAUCGGGAGUCCUAUAGGGCGCGCACAAUUGGUCCAGCGUCGUCCGGGUAAGGGGAGCGUUUGGCCUGGGUAGGCCGUCAUUGUAAAUAAGAAUUUGUUCAUAACUGACUUGCCUAGUUAAAUAAAUUGCUAAAUGCAGGUAGCCUAUAGGCCUACAUCCUAAUUGUAGAUUGCCUACAGUAGCCUAGGCAAGAUGUAAAAUGAACAAUUUAGCAGCUUGCUUAGUUCAAAUUGACAGAAUCAUUUAUUCAACAUGAAUAGCGAGGCGAUUUCGAGACUCCUCCACCUUGGCUGGUGUCCUUGGAGACUGGAGUUGGCCGGCCUGUCACACCUAGGCCUUAUUAACUAAUGGGCUACCUGAGCUCCUUAAAAAUGGAGCUUCCAGUUCGCUCUCGGUCUGCUGCUGGAGGGAGAACACCAACGGGGAACCGCUGCUGCUGUCACCGCCACUACAGCAUCUACUGUCACUUGGAUCACAUCUCGUCCAGCCACCGAUGACCGGCAGCCAGGGGGAGACCAAACAGGGUGGAGAGAAAUGUUGACAGUUUUUAAUAUUGUCAGAAGGUGGGUGUAGCUGGUGCAUGAAGUCAGGCGCAGGAGAGCAGAAACGAGUGAGCAACGUACUUUACUCAAAAUAAAGGCACAAGGGCUUCUGGUGGCAAAACUGAUUACAUCUUAAUCUCGCUUCUUGGAGGGAGACAAUGGCUCUGUGUCUCCGGAAGGUGGUGAUUGACUCCGCUGUCCUGGCGUUGUGAGGGAGCUUGUUCCACCAUUGGGGUGCCAGAGCAGCGAACAGUUUUGACUGGGCUGAGCGGGAACUGUGCUUCCUCAGAGGUAGGGGGGCCAGCAGGCCAGAGGUGGAUGAACGCAGUGCCCUUGUUUGGGUGUAGGGCCUGAUCAGAGCCUGAAGGUAUGGAGGUGCCGUUCCCUUCACAGCUCCGUAGGCAAUCACCAUGGUCUUGUAGCGGAUGCGAGCUUCAACUGGAAGCCAGUGGAGAGAGCGGAGGAGCGGGGUGACGUGAGAGAACUGAUACCAUUUGAAAGGAAAAACUUUGAAGUUUGUGGAAAUGUGAAAUGAAUGUA